rnacentral:rRNA from 1 species
CCGGCGACCGGCGCACGGGUGAGUAACACGUAUGGAACCUGCCCGCAGCAGGGGGAUAAGCGGAAGAAAUUCCGUCUAAUACCGCGUAACAACGUUGGGAGGCAUCUCCCGAUGUUUAAAGAUUUAUCGGCUGCGGAUGGCCAUGCGGCGCAUUAGCUAGUCGGCGGGGUAACGGCCCACCGAGGCGACGAUGCGUAGGGGUUCUGAGAGGAAGGUCCCCCACAUUGGAACUGAGACACGGUCCAAACUCCUACGGGAGGCAGCAG